rnacentral:RNase_P_RNA from 1 species
GUCGUCCCUUAUGCGCUCCUUUUCGAAAACUAAUUUGGACAAGAGUGCAGUGGGAGAGGGUGGGCCGCCAAAGGCGGCCGGGUGAGGGAAUCGCUCACACCGUUUCCCCCGGUAAGGGUGAAAAGGUGCGGUAAGAGCGCACCAGCGGUCCGGCAACGGACCGGCUUGGUAAACCCCACACGGAGCAAGGCCAAAUAGGGAAACGAACGGCCCGUUCCAGUUUCCGGGUAGGCCGCUUGAGCUUCAGGGACACCUGAGGCCUAGAUGAAUGAUCGCCGCCUGGGUUGCGAAAUCCAGGUACAGAAUUCGGCUUAUAGUUUGCCUGCCAAU